UACGGAGGGGGCUAGCGUUGUUCGGAAUUACUGGGCGUAAAGCGCACGUAGGCGGCUUUGUAAGUUAGAGGUGAAAGCCCGGGGCUCAACUCCGGAAUUGCCUUUAAGACUGCAACGCUAGAGUUGUGGAGAGGUAAGUGGAAUUCCGAGUGUAGAGGUGAAAUUCGUAGAUAUUCGGAAGAACACCAGUGGCGAAGGCGACUUACUGGACAAAUACUGACGCUGAGGUGCGAAAGCGUGGGGAGCAAACAGG
rnacentral:rRNA from 1 species